CCUACGGGAGGCAGCAGUGAGGAAUAUUGGUCAAUGGGCGUAAGCCUGAACCAGCCAAGUCGCGUGAGGGAUGAAGGUUCUAUGGAUCGUAAACCUCUUUUAUAAGGGUAUAAAGUGCGGGACGUGUCCCGUUUUGUAUGUACCUUAUGAAUAAGGAUCGGCUAACUCCGUGCCAGCAGCCGCGGUAAUACGGAGGAUCCGAGCGUUAUCCGGAUUUAUUGGGUUUAAAGGGUGCGUAGGCGGCUUUUUAAGUCAGCGGUGAAAGUUUGUGGCUCAACCAUAGAAUUGCCGUUGAAACUGGGAGGCUUGAGUAUGUUUGAGGCAGGCGGAAUGCGUGGUGUAGCGGUGAAAUGCUUAGAUAUCACGCAGAACCCCGAUUGCGAAGGCAGCCUGCUAAGCCAUGACUGACGCUGAGGCACGAAAGCGUGGGGAUCAAACAGGAUUAGAUACCCGUGUAGUC
rnacentral:rRNA from 1 species